rnacentral:rRNA from 1 species
ACGGAGGGGGCUAGCGUUGUACGGAAUUACUGGGCGUAAAGCGCACGUAGGCGGGUCGUUAAGUCAGGGGUGAAAUCCCAGAGCUCAACUCUGGAACUGCCUUUGAUACUGGCGACCUAGAGUCCGGAAGAGGUUAGUGGAAUUCCCAGUGUAGAGGUGAAAUUCGUAGAUAUUGGGAAGAACACCAGUGGCGAAGGCGGCUAACUGGUCCGGUACUGACGCUGAGGUGCGAAAGCGUGGGGAGCAAACAGGA